rnacentral:ribozyme from 1 species
GCGUCGCCGCCAACCACUUCAUCCCGGGCGCCCUUCCGGGCUGCAUCUACUCGUAGAUAUUGCCUGGCACAUCAUGCAGUAACUUUGAGCGCAUCGUUGCCCGGUCCUGUCGCCGGUGGUGUGGUGUUCGGAG